rnacentral:piRNA from 4 species
UCCAGUGCGGUAACGCGACCGAUCCC